rnacentral:rRNA from 1 species
GACGAACGCUGGCGGCGUGCUUAACACAUGCAAGUCGAACGGAAAGGCCCUGCUUUUGUGGGGUGCUCGAGUGGCGAACGGGUGAGUAACACGUGAGUAACCUGCCCUUGACUUUGGGAUAACUUCAGGAAACUGGGGCUAAUACCGGAUAGGAGCUCCUGCUGCAUGGUGGGGGUUGGAACGUUUCGGCGGUUGGGGAUAGACUCGCGGCUUAUCAGCUUGUUGGUGGGGUAGUGGCUUACCAAGGCUUUGGCGGGUAGCCGGCCUGAGAGGGUGACCGGCCACAUUGGGACUGAGAUACGGCCCAGACUCCUACGGGAGGCAGCAGUGGGGAAUAUUGCACAAUGGGCGGAAGCCUGAUGCAGCAACGCCGCGUGCGGGAUGACGGCCUUCUGGUUGUAAACCGCUUUCGCCUGUGACGAAGCGUGAGUGACGGUAAUGGGUAAAGAAGCACCGGCUAACUACGUG